AUCUUUUGAAAGAGUGGGCAGGAAUUUUUUCGGAACGUCGGGAUCGAUCGUUUUAAGCUAAUGAUUCUGUGGGUGAUCCUUUCGGGGUCCGGGAAUUCUUUUUAUUACGAGUUUCGAGAUGUCGGGAUUUAAAUUUCUUUCAAUUCUGGACUUUGGGAUCUUAUGUUUUAAAGCCCAGGAUUUCGGUAUCAGAACCCCACCAACCCUCUCUUGAAAGAGUUCUCCCCCAAUUAUAUUCGGCAAGUCAAUAAGCAAAUGGAAAUAAAUACGGAACACAGAAUAUAUAUUUAAAUUGGUGAUUCAGAAAAAAUAAAAUUUAUUUCAAAAUUGUUGAUUGGAGUCUAUUUAAAUAUCAACAUUGUGUGCUCAGUAUUUAAUUACUGAUUGUGAGCAUGCUCCUUGCCACACACUAUUAUUCUUCCUGCAACAGUUAUCGUAUUUAACAUCGAGUUUUGAGGGGGGAUAGG
rnacentral:lncRNA from 1 species